CGGAGGAUGUCUGGCACAGCUCCCGGGCUUGUGCAUGAUUACAUAGCUGUCCGUCAUGGAGCCUGAGAGAUCCCUGCCUGAUGGUAUGUGGAGGCACCAGCCAGGAGCAACCUAACCAUCAAGAGGCCCUUUGGGUCAUGCUUGACACGAGUGGAUAGAAGAAAGAAACUGUUCAAAGGCGUCAACAGUCCAGGGGCAACGUUUGGUGAGAUCGCUACGUGUGGCUGUCCUCGUGGUCUAUGAGCUGCAGUCUUAAAAAUCAAGCAGUGCAUGGAGCCACACAAUGGAGCAAAGCCCGAAGCCCUUAGUGAAGAAGCAACACCGACCUCUUGCAAGAAGCCAUCCUUGGAGGAAGCAUCCAGAUGUUUUGGGGUACCCAGCCAUGGGGCAGACUUGUCAGCGAGCCCAGCAGAUUUCUUGACAUCGUGCUUUGGGAUCAGCAAAAACAUUCUGCAACUUUUCACAUGGAAGGAGCCAUUUCCUACUACACCAGUGGACUGAGUGGAGAAAUGAGGUGGUAACUGUGAGUGCAGCUGUACGAGUGUGUAAGACUUGUGGUUUGUCCUGCCACUGUUUGUCUGUCCCUGCUGCAAGGGCUGGAGCAGCGCUUCCCCAGACUCACUGCCCUGUAGUUGCAUCGA